UACGUAGGGUGCGAGCGUUAAUCGGAAUUACUGGGCGUAAAGCGUGCGCAGGCGGUUUUGUAAGCCAGAUGUGAAAUCCCCGGGCUUAACCUGGGAAUGGCAUUUGGGACUGCAAGGCUUGAGUGCGGCAGAGGAGACUGGAAUUCCUGGUGUAGCAGUGAAAUGCGUAGAUAUCAGGAGGAAUACUGAUGGCGAAGGCAGGUCUCUGGGCUGACACUGACGCUCAUGCACGAAAGCGUGGGGAGCAAACAGG
rnacentral:rRNA from 1 species